AUAAUAUUUGAAUUCACAUGACAAUAAUAGACCCUUUGUUUUUAUUGUAAAUUUUGAAGAAAAUAUUCACAUGUAAAUAGUACAUAAUACUUUCAAUUCUAUAAAUUGGUAGUUUCAAUCUUUCAAUCUUCCAAUCUACUUUCAAUCUUCCACAAUCUUAAAAUUCUUGUUAUUCUUCAAAUUUUCUAAAGUUUUUAAAAGCAUUUUCUUUAUAAGGUGAGUUUAAAUUUAUUUUAUUUUUAAUUUAUUUUAAUUAAUUUUAUACUUUUAUAUGAUAUUGUUGAUAUAUUCAAUCGUUUGAUACUUAUAUUAAUGUUAAUUUUUCGUUUUAUUUUUUGUGUAUAGAUAUGCAUCUGUCAAAUUUAUACGUACAUCCUGGUCCAGUAGAGCAUGAUGUAUUAAAAAUUCAAGUUCAUCAUCGUUCCGAAGGAAUUUGGAACGAUUUGGGCAUGGGAAAGAAUUAUUCCCCUGCAACCAUUGCAAAAGCCUCUAAGAACCAAUCAAUUUGAGGCUUCAACUGUGCUUGCACGUAAAUGGACGUGACGUAGACUUUAUCAAAAUGAGGCACGAACUGUAAUCGGUGUGAUUAGGGAUGUACUUGAUAAUCUCACUGAUGAACAGUUUAUUUGGCAGCCUUAUUCGGAAGAUGUUAUUAAUGGAUUGCCUGAGUGGUGUCGGUCAGGACAACGUGUCUGGAUGGCACAGGUGCCACUGAUUUAUGGAAUUUAUCGUGAGUGGCACAUGGUUGAUCGUGUUGUGAGACAGUUCGAUUAUUUACAACAUAUUCCUGGACCGUGUACCCAAUUUUCCGAAUAUCAUUUUAAGCGUGAUAAACGAUC